rnacentral:lncRNA from 9 species
GGCGGAUUCGUCAGGACUGUUUCUGGACCCAGAGUGAAGGGUCAGCAGGGGGCUGUCCCCGAGGAUGUAAGGUCUCCUUAGCCCUGGGCUGGGGUUCUCGGGGGGGACAGAUGUCUCAGCAGCAGAUGGGGAAGCAGGUAGUACGAGACUGUUACUACCGAGACCGUUACCUGGACCCCAGGCUGCAGGGACAUCGGUACCUAAAAUAAUCGGAACCUGUUUCUCUUUUCCCCGAGGAAUCCCGGCUGCUCCACAGACAGGUGCCAGCGUUCAGACCCUGAGGCUGCCUCUGGCUCCGCAAGUGUGGAUGUGCCCAGGCAGGUCUCAGGACGGAGCCUCGAGAAGCAGGAAAGGCCGUGUGGAUGGAGCCCCUGGGGACGGAGAGGAGGAGGAAGAUGGACUGGGUCGAGCAGAGGAGUCAUCUGAUUCACCGUAGAGGACAGCGUCCAGCCUUCACGCCGGGACGUCCUCCAGGGACGCCGUCGGGAGUCACAGGCUUCAGGAAGGUAGGUGCUUCGUCUGUAACGUCUUUAGCCUGAAAGGAAGCAGCCUUUAAGGAAAUCUGGAAUGUAAACAUGAGCCUUUGCCCAGAAAAGAAACUUAUGGACUUGGAGAACAGACUUGUGGUUGCAGAGGGGGAGGGAGUGGGAUGCACGGGGAGUCUGGGGUUAACAGAUGCAAACUCUUGCCUUUGGAAUAGAAAAGCAAUGAGAUCCUGCUGUGCAGCACAGGGAACUAUGUCCAGUCACUUGGGAUAGACCAUGGAGGAGGAUAAUGUGAGAAAAAGAAAUUAUAUAUGAUUGAGUCACUUUGCUGUACAGUAGAAAUGGACAGAAUACUAUAAAUCUACUAUAAUGGAAACAAUAAAAAUACUAAAUUUAACAAUUGAAAAAAUAGUCAUGUCUGCACUGUCCUGUAGUAUAGGCACAUAUCUAUACUUGGGCUUAUCUUAUUAACAUUUUAUAUUUAUGACAGUUAAUAUGAAAAUAUAUACCAUUUAUGAGACAAUAUAUUGUAAAUUAUGGUACAUAUAGAACAUGUAGCAUAUGUAAUUUUGAACUUGUAAUGCAUAUAGUACAUAUCGUAUAUUGUAAAUUGUAUAUGCACAUGAGAGUAUAUUAAUUUCAUAUAUAUUACAUAUAAUAUGUAAUGUAUAAAUAUGUAACAGUAUAUAUAACAUGCAAUAUAUAAUACAAAGUCUACUAUGUACGUGAAGUAUCCAAUGUCAUACACAAUUUAG